CAUAUGCCAUGAAUGUGGCCCUAAAAAGAAAAAAAAAUAAAUAAAUAAAAUAAAAAUAAAAGAUAAAAAGUUUGGUGGCCACUACUCUAUACGGCAGAGUGAUUUUUAAAAAUACAAAUCUGAUUGUAUUGAUUAGUUAAUACAAUCAAUUAAUUAAUAUGAUUAAUUUUUUUUUUUUGGCUUUUUUUUCCUGAGGCACAUGGAAGUUCCCAGGCUAGGGGUCAUAUCAGAGCUUCAGCUGCCAGCCUAUGCCAGAGCCACAGCAACGCAGGAUCCGAGCCGCGUCUGCAACCGACACCACAGCUCACGGCAACGCCCGAUCAUUAACCCACUGAACAAGGGCAGAGACCAAACCCACAACCUCAUGGUUCCUAGUUGGAUUCGUUAACCACUGUGCCACGACCGGAACUCCUCUCCGCCCCUCCUUGAAGCCAGGAUUUUCCCCACGUGAAAUCUUCACACCAUCUUCCCUCUGCCUCCACGAAGCUCUAGGUCUUGGGUUCAAUGUUGUUUUCUUCCCUGACACACCCCUGCCCUGGCACAUCUCUCUCCAAUCCAGAAGUUCCUGGUUUAAAUUCUCUCUUAGCGCCCUGCAUUUUCCAUCAUGGCACUUAGCAAAGAGGUGCCUUUACAUCUACACAGUUUAUUUAUUCCAUAUAUUGCUGUAACCCCGGCACCUAAUAAGGGCACAGUAAGUACUGAACAAAAGAAUGAACUAAAAUAUUAACUCUCACUCCCACAUUUACUCCAAAGAGUUAGGGAGUCUGGGUGGAUCUUCAGAGCAUAACCUUGAGAAACUGCUAACCUUUCUGAAGCUCAUCUGCCCCCCACACCUGGACACCCUAGGAUGGGAUCCAAUUAACCACCUUUUGCUCUAGGAGGCUUUUUGAGAGGUCCCUGAACAGUGAGUCCCCAGCCCCUCUGAAGAGCUUUAUUACAGCACUUAGUGAUAAGGAAACCCCUGCUUCCAUCUCUGCUUCUGUGCCAAGGCGGAUGGUCUGGAGGGCUUGGACCUCACUGUUCACCUCUGGGAGCGCUGGGGAGGAGCUGUUUCACAGGCGCUUAAAGAGCUCUGGUGUUGCAAGUUAUUUAAAACAAAAAAGUUUCAGACUGCUGAAUUUCGAGAUUUCUCAGAAAGUUAAAACCAGCCCUCGGAACAAGGCUGGUGGGGCAUCUUUGUAAGGCUUAUUGUGGUAUAUGCAAUACUUACACCCACCCUUCUUGAGAACUGGCUUUGUCAAGGGGGUGAAAGCAGAGGAUGAACAGUCUGCCUGGUUCUGCUUUUUUCUUCUCCCUCCUAGAGAAACUAACCUGAGAGAGCAGGUAACUCAGGGACUGAGCGUCAACCUGGAGCAAACCGCAGAGUGUACUCGGAAGUUGCUUUUGCCCACACAUACAGGGAUGGAAGGAAGAGGUGAAAAAAAGAAGGACGGCCUGGACCUCUCUGUGGAAAUGACACAACAUGGAAACAUCAGAGAGUUAGAAAAAUGCUUCCUUGGGAUUUAGGAUGAAUUGAAAACAAGCCCAUUGUUUUUGUGUCGGGACAAGGACCUCAUUCAGAUCACCUGUAGUCACACCUAACGACUUUGUCCCCAAGCAGUGAAGUUGAUGGGGAUGGUAGCUCCCCGUUUCUACACACAGGAGAUUCUUCAUCUUAGCCCCUGAGCUAUUUAACAUUUAAGCUUGGAUCCUAAUAAGGGUUCGACUUGCCGGCCUCAGUACCAAGAACUGCGGUGGAACAGUGACCAUACAAGGGCAGGAAGCCUUCCAGAAGGGAGGGGGGGGCACAGCUUCAGCACAGCCUUAUGUAACCACAAGGGGAGCGAUGCGAAGGGAAAAGCUCCUUCUGCCUUCCUUGAAAAUAUUAAAUUCUAAAAAUGUCUCGAGGACACCUAACAAGCCCAUUUGAAUGGCUGAAGUUAGAAGCGGCAAUAUAAUUAGACCCAGCAAAUCAAUUGAAUCCGAUGGGCUUAUGUGGCUGCACUUUUAAAUAACUUCAGAUACAUGGUGUCCUCCAGAAAUGGUUGUAAAAAUAUAUGUCCAGUACAUUUCAGUAAUAGCAGAAUAAAGGUCAUUUCCUUUU
rnacentral:lncRNA from 1 species